UACGUAGGGGGCAAGCGUUAUCCGGAUUUACUGGGUGUAAAGGGAGCGUAGACGGCAUGGCAAGCCAGAUGUGAAAUACCGGGGCUCAACCCCGGGACUGCAUUUGGAACUGUUAAGCUGGAGUGUCGGAGAGGCAGGCGGAAUUCCUAGUGUAGCGGUGAAAUGCGCAGAUAUUAGGAGGAACACCAGUGGCGAAGGCGGCCUGCUGGACGAUAACUGACGUUGAGGCUCGAAAGCGUGGGGAGCAAACAGG
rnacentral:rRNA from 1 species